GAAAUGCGAUAAGUAGUGUGAAUUGCAGAAUUCAGUGAAUCAUCGAAUCUUUGAACGCACAUUGCGCCCUAUGGUAUUCCGUAGGGCAUGCCUGUUCGAGCGUCAUUUACACCUUCAAGCCUUGCUUGGUGUUGGGUGACUGUGGCCCCUUUGGGGCCACUCGCCUUAAAGUCAUUGGCGGCCGGUUCGUUGGCUUUGUAGCGCAGCACAAUUGCGUCCUCGAAGCUGCUGGACCAGCUCCCAGAAGCUAAUUUUAAAUGUUUGACCUCGAAUCAGGUAGGGAUACCCGCUGAACUUAAGC
rnacentral:misc_RNA from 1 species